rnacentral:rRNA from 1 species
AGUGAACGCUGGCGGUAGGCCUAACACAUGCAAGUCGAACGGCAGCACAGUAAGAGCUUGCUCUUACGGGUGGCGAGUGGCGGACGGGUGAGGAAUACAUCGGAAUCUACUUUUUCGUGGGGGAUAACGUAGGGAAACUUACGCUAAUACCGCAUACGACCUACGGGUGAAAGCAGGGGAUCUUCGGACCUGGCGGGGUUGAAUGAGCCGAUGUCGGAUUAGCUAGUUGGCGGGGUAGAGGCCCACCAAGGCGAUGAUCGGUAGCUGGCAUGAGUGGGUGACCGGCCACAUUGGGACUGAGAUGCGGCCCAGACGCCUACGGGAGGCAGCAGUGUGGAAUAUUGAACAAUGGGCGGAAGCAUAAUGCAGCAACGACGCGUGCGGGAUGUCGGCCUCCGGGUUGUAAACCGCUUUCGCCUGUGACGAAGCGUGAGUGACGGUAAUGGGUAAAGAAGCACCGGCUAACUACGUG